CCUACGGGAGGCUGCAGUGGGGAAUUUUGGACAAUGGGGGCAACCCUGAUCCAGCCAUUCCGCGUGAGUGAAGAAGGCCUUCGGGUUGUAAAGCUCUUUUGUCCGGAGCGAAACGGGCGGCCCUAAUACGGUCGUCUACUGACGGUACCGGAAGAAUAAGCACCGGCUAACUACGUGCCAGCAGCCGCGGUAAUACGUAGGGAACGAGCGUUAAUCGGGAUUACGGAGCGUAUUUCGUGAGCCGGCUGUGAAAUCCCCGGGCUCAACCUGGGAAUGGCAUUUGGGACUGCAAGGCUGGAGUGUGGCAGAGGAGACUAGAAUUCCUGGUGUAGCAGUGAAAUGCGUAGAUAUCAGGAGGAAUACCGAUGGCGAAGGCAGGUCCCUGGGUUAACACUGACGCUCAUGCACGAAAGCGUGGGGAGCAAACAGGAUUAGAUACCCUGGUAGUC
rnacentral:rRNA from 1 species